rfam:Ictidomys tridecemlineatus contig113288, whole genome shotgun sequence.
GGGGUUGUGGCUCAGUGGUAGAGUGCUCACCUAGCACAGGUGAGUCACUGGGUUCGAUCCUCAGCAACCCUU